UACGAAGGGGGCUAGCGUUGUUCGGAAUUACUGGGCGUAAAGCGCACGUAGGCGGAUUAGUAAGUUAGGGGUGAAAUCCCGGAGCUCAACUCCGGAACUGCCUUUAAUACUGCUAGUCUCGAGUUCGGGAGAGGUGUAUGGAACUCCUAGUGUAGAGGUGGAAUUCGUAGAUAUUAGGAAGAACACCAGUGGCGAAGGCGAUACACUGGCCCGAUACUGACGCUGAGGUGCGAAAGCGUGGGGAGCAAACAGGAUUAGAUACCCCGGUAGUCC
rnacentral:rRNA from 1 species